AGAAUUUUUUUUCUGAGGUCUUGGCUGAUUUAUUUUGAUUUCCCAUGAUGUCAAGCAAAGAGACACUGAGUUUGAAGCAGCUGAAGUCAGCAGAUCCAUCAGUCCUAAAGAUGAGUCAAAGCCUGAGGCUGGUGGUCUUCCUGGUGGGUUAACUGAGGACCAGAAACAUGGGGUUUGAAGGCUCUCAGUACAUGCCUCCAUAUCUGUUACAUGGAGACAAACAACCAAGAAGAGAGAAACACGUUUGAACUGUUGGAGAUGUUUUCUGAAUUUAAAAUGAAGGAAAACAGGCAAACAUUGCAUAUAGUAACUUGCACUCAAUCAGAUGAAGUACAGAGCUACAAAAGUAUUGGGAAGCAAAGGUAUUGGUACAAAUUCACUUAUGUGUAUUAAAGGAGUCAAAGUUUUUAGUAUUUGGAUCAUAUUCCUAGUGCGCAAAGAUUACAUAAAGCUUGUGACUCUACAAACUUGUUUUGGUUGUUUCAGAUUAUUUUGGGCCUGAUAGAAAUGAAUGGUAAAUAAUAAUGUACCUCAUUGUAGUAUCAUUUUAAAUCAUAAGUGCUGGAGUACAGAGCCAAAACAAUCAAAACACAUGUCACAGUUCCAAUACUUUUGGAGCUCACUGUAUAAUGUGAUGAGUUGUGUGCUUUAUGAAUUUACAGUACUUCAGAAAUAUGAGGGGAAUAUUUGUAUCUCAGAACAUUUGAUGAUGGACAAAAACGAGAUUAUCUUAUACUUUGAUGUAAAUAGCUUAGGAUUUUUACCCUUUCUCAGUAUUCAUGACUCGUCUUUACAAAUCGAAAUCAAUUUGCGCAUAUUGUUUUUGUUUGAAGCCAUAGUAUCAAUCACUUUGUGGUUGUAUGAUACCUUUUCUGGUAUUUUCUCCAGAGCACUUUAUGCCAACCCACUGCACGUUCUGUUUUUAAUUGCAGCUUGUGAAUGUCUUUCCUUUCAUAAUUGAAUAAUUGUUCAAGCCUUCACUUGACCUAAGUCAAGGAAUUUGCACAGGUUGUUAUUGUUUUAGUUAUUGUUUUUAGUCAUUUAUGCCAACCCCCCCCGACCCC